AGUGAACGCUGGCGGUAGGCCUAACACAUGCAAGUCGAACGGCCGCACAGUAAGCUCUCGCUCUUACGGUUGGCGAGUGGCGGGCGGGUAACACAUACAUCGGCAUCUACUUUUUCUUGGGGGAUAUCGUAGGACCACUUAUGCUAAUACAUCAUAUUAUCUACGGCAUGGAGCAAGAGUUAUUCACACCUUUCCUGUUUCUUUUAGCUGAUGCCGGAUUAGCUAGUUGGUUAGGUAAAGGACCACCAAGGCAACGAUCCGUAGCUGGUCUGAGAGGAUGAUCGGCCACACUGGAACUGAGACACGGUCCAGACUCCUACGGGAGGCAGCAGUAGGGAAUAUUGGACAAUGGGCGAAAGCCUGACGCAGCAACGCCGCGUGAGUGAAGAAGGCCUUCGGGUUGUAAAGCUCUGUUAUUGGGAAAGAAAAGCAGUGUGGGAAACUGUCGCUGUUCUGACGGUACCCAAAGAAUAAGCACCGGCUAACUUCGUG
rnacentral:rRNA from 1 species